GUCUCUGUGUAAUUUUUAAAUAUAGAGUCAUACCUGCUCGGUGAAUAUAUUUUAACAGCUGCGGUAUUUUAACUGUACUAAGGUAUGCAUAAUAAUUUGCCUAAUAUUUGAGGCUAGAAUGAAUGGUUGGACGAGGGUUACCGUCUCAAUUUAUUUUAAGAAUUAAUUUUAAUGGUGAGAAGCAUAAUUUUUCAAGGGACGAGAGACCUAAUGAGGCUUAUAUUAUAUUAAUAUAGUAUAAUUCUUAUUUAUAUUAUAUUAUAUAAAUUUUAAUUGGGGUGAUUAAGGAAUAAAUAAUUAUAUAGUAACUUCCUUGAUAUAUAAUAUAUUUUUAUGAAAUAACCAAUAUAUGUAUUGCUUAUAAUAUAGUUACCAUAGGGAUAACAGCGUAAUUUAUUUAGAGAGUUCUUAUUGAAAAAUAAGAUUGCGACCUCGAUGUGUGGAUUAAAGUGUACCUUAAGAGGGCGCAGAGGCUUUAAUAAGGUGAAUCUGUUCGAUUUUUAAA
rnacentral:rRNA from 1 species